CCCCCACGCUCGGGCCGGGAGCGCCGCAGGGGGGCGCUGCUGCCGCAGGGGGGCGUGCGGGCGGCAGCGGCCGUUGCGAUGGGAGGGGCGGCUGAGCGCCGCCUCCGUGAGGCGCGGGGCUGAAGCGAGCAGCGUGGUGGAAGGCUUUCUCUCGGCCCGGCAGCUCUCACUGGGAGACUUAAGCUGCAUGUCACGUCGGCAUUCCUAAAAUACCGAAGUAAAAGACAAAAAACUUUUCUUCAUAUGGUUGAUGUGGGAAAGUGCGACCGCUGAGGGCGCUGAUAUCACAAAGAGAGGCCCGUUCGCCCAGUGCUGGGCUCUGGCUUAACGCAGAGCGCGGUGUACCUGAGCAGGUCUGAUGUGAUGUGCAGGAGAGCCGUCCUUCUGGCACAGCGCGUUGUCCCUCUGUAGCCAGCGGAAGGACGGAAGUACGCCGUCAUUCCGGGUCAGACAGUCCUGCCGCCCCUCGCCGUGAGUCUCAUACCGUGUGGGUCAAGAACCCCCUACAUGCGGAUCCCGCAGAGCACUGAGCACAGGUGGCUCUGGGAAAGCUGAAGGAGCAUCUUCAUUCUCCAGAUCUCAACUGGAGCACGGUUCUCACCAUCAGGGUGUGGAAACCAUGCCACUGCUGCCCAGACCAGCUGUGCUCUCACCCUGCCACCCUAGAACCUGGGUAGGGUUCAGCAACGGGUUUUGAAUCAGUGAGGCUGUUCCAGCUGAAUCUGUUUGACAGUUGGUUUUCUUUCACCAUUUGCUUUAGUGUUCUAUUCAGAGCAAUUUGAGCCAAUAGUUAAAAACUUCAUCAAGAACUAAGGCAAAAAAAAAUACUGGAAAUCGAAUUUAAGACAAAUCUAAGUUAUUUGCGCUUCUGGCCUAAAUGUUCCUUUCUUAUCUGUGACCCUACACAAACAUUUAGUGAUGAAUCACCUUCUCUAGCUAGCAAGAAUAGUCUCUGAUCUCAGAGUAUCACCUACAUUUGGCCUUGUAAUGACUAUGUCUGAUGUCCUAAGAUGAUUCCUUCUUAGGUAGGCAAAUGCCUGCUGUUAGACAAGAUAAUGAAAGAGCAAAAUGUUUGAUUAUUCUGCAAAGAUUACAAAUGACAUCAGUCAUGAUGUAACCUCGUUUGUGAAACUCUGGGGGAAGAAUGCAUAAUCUAAACAUACAUAAGGUAAAUCCUCCAGCUCUGAAUCAAGCAACUUCACACUGAAGUAGAGAGCCUCUGUCCUUCCCGCCAUCCUUUUUCUUGCUCUGGAUGCUAGCUGUGAUACCAGGAGGACAGCUGACCUUUCACUGAAGCUCCCAAGCCCUGCUGUUCUGCCUUUGGAUCUGUGCUCCACUCAGCAUGCCACCAAACCUUGCGCAUGUUGCAGAGAGGAACCACUUGCACUAUGCCUUGCCUGCCUGCAGAGCUAUCUGUCAACAUGAGUCAUGAGUGGUUUUGGUAUUUGAAGGGGUAAAGUCAGAGAUUAUGGAAAAACUAUGAAGAAAGUGAAGGCUGAAUGAGACUACUAACCAAAGGGGAGGCAAAAGAUGAUCUUUGGACAUCCAGUUUGAACUGGGGCUCAGGAGGUUCGUGUUCAUUCUCUAGCUUGACCACAUUGCAAGCAAGUUGUAAUUGCAUUGCAGGCAAGGUUUUCAUUUAGGUUUUCAUUUCUUAUUUUUACAUCCAGAUCUUAAUUGCUGUUAGAAGAAAGCUGAAAAUGUCACACUUUCACUUGACGCUCAGAAGUGGCACUUUAAGUGGCUGCUGCUGGCUUUUAUUGAAAAUAUCUGCUACUCUCUGGUGCACAUUAUAUUUGAGAGAAGAAUGGGUUAGGAAAAUAAAUCACAUUUAGCAAAGAAUCAGUAGGGUAAUUUUGUGAUCACAUAAUUAGCACACUGUGAAAUUACUGCUAAAUUAUUUGAUCAUCUAUCUAAUAUAUAAGAAUUUUACAAUGUAUUGAUUAUGUUUUGAAAGCAGAUGCUAUUGUAACUGCCUAUGUAGCUGUAGUGUCCUACUGUAGCAUGUAUUAUUGCUGCAUUUUAAAAUUCCUUGUGACUCAAUAUGCUGCUUAUUGUCACAGGUUGUACUGCAUUUGUGAAAAGAAUGAAAACAGGAAUGUAAAGAAAAAUAGCAAGAUUUCUAAGAAUUGGUUCAAAUUUCAACACAGCAUCUUUGUGCAAGAGCCAACAGAGCAGUAGAGCCUACAUUUAGUUGUUCCUAAGAAAUAGCCAUUCUUUGAUCUCACAGCCACAGGCAUAACAAUUUAACUUCUACCUCUGACUACUACUGCUGGGAAUAUCUUGGGGAAAUGCUACCCAUAAGUUAUGGGUUGGGGUAUGAAACAAAGUUGAAGAAAACUCCAGCCCAGGAAUGAGCAGAUAUCUUCAGUGUUGAUGUCCCUAAACCAAGUACAGUUACUCUCGAUUUACAUUGUUAGUUUUCUCCAAGCUUGGACUGUCUUUUUAUGCAGUGGUUAGCACUGGCCCACAGUAGUGGUUUCUACAGUCACUAGAAUAUUUGCAAAAAUAACCCAAGAUGAAACUACAAAUAUCCAGAUGGUUGUGCUGGGCUACUGAUUCCUGCUGCCUUUAUGUAAAUCAUGGGAAGUAACUGACGUUGCACAACAUGACACUAUUGUAGGGAGCAUCAAUCAAGUAGCUCUGAUGAUGCACAAGAAAGUGCAGAGUAAAUAUAAUAUGGCAGUGAGUUCUAAACUUGGAUCCAGUCUUUCCAUCCUCCUUAUUUAGUUGAUUGGACAGGUAACUGCUCACAUGAUCCAGACUGAUCUCUAGUCGCAUAAAGACUUCUGCAGGUUUGGAACUUUAUUGGCUUCCAGGGAGUUGCUAACUCACAAUUUUCAUUCAAAUCUGAACAAGCAUUCUUAGGAUUCACUAAUACACUCCCAAAAGACCAGAUACCGUACCAAUUUGUGGCAGGUUCUGCCUGGCUUGUUGCAAUAAACCAGGCUGCAAAAUCCCCAGGCUGUCCCCUGGGAGGAAGCUGCAGUGAUGAAAAACAGAAACAUCCUCCUGUGCACUGAAGGACCUACAGAGGACAAAACUGGUACAAUCUGUGAUGCACAGGCUGCUCAACGAGCAGAUGUGAAGUAACACUGCUAUAAAAAACCACAGCCUACCGUCUUAUUGCUGGAAUCUUAGGGAAAAGAAGUGCUAUGCAUCAAUGUGUUCUUGGUGGCGCUGUCCCCUUUUAAACUGCAUUGGUCUUUGCAAUCAGUGAAGACUGUAUACCCUUGACUGUACAGCUAAGAGCGUAUUUGUUCCCUGAGUACUUUACUCUCUUGGUGUAAUAGCUGACACUGACAGAUAUUUCCUUCAUUUUGGAAGGCAAAGGUGAGCAUGGCACAGCCUAAUUCCUGUGACGCAAUGUGCAUUCAUUGGCAGUGACUAAUUAUAGCACAGAAGAAUGACUGGCUUCCCCUGCUGAGGACAGAGUACAUGCUCUCCGCAGCACGACUGCACUCUGCUCUUUUUCCUGUGUCAUGAUGCCCACUGACACCACAGUAAAACAGCAGUUUAUCAUUCCUCCUUAAGCUGCUGUGUACCUACAGCUGGAGAUUCCUGAGUCUGCCUCCCUUCUUCAGGGCUAGCUCCAGCUAAGCUCCUGCAGGUCAGCUGUGGCACACUGCACUUCCAGAUCUAGUUGGCUAUUGCCUUGAAGAUCUUAAAUUACUUCCUCACUUACCCUUCAUAACAUUGUUGGAAUUCUGUGUAAGUCCUGCACUUGACCCCAGUACAGGGAGCUAUGAAGCAGGUAAAGUAUGUGCAUUUUUUAAAGAUCAGUUUAUGUUCCCUUCUAAUCAGCAGUGAAAGCAGCUGUCACAAAAAGCAGGUGAUAACUAUGCCAUCUCAAAGCUUACAAGCUUUAGUUACUUCGCAAGAAAUGUAAGCCUAAUGAAUAUAAAAGGUAGAAAUUAAAUGGAAAAUGAAAAAGAAAUACACAGUAGUUAAGAGGCAUUUAUCUUGAUCAACAUGCCAGGGGAGUGCUCUUGGAACACAGGAAAAGAGGAAAUAGGAAAAGAUCUAGUCCACUUUCUUUCCAGGGCAGAAAGUCUUUUACUGAAAAUUAUUCUUGUCAAAAGUGUCUACAGGAAGUUUAUUAAGAUGUUUGAGAACAUUUUAAACUACUUCCUCAGGAGGAAUUAAAUUAUUUUUCUUUCUUUCUUUCUUUUUUUACACUUUUAUGCAAGUUUGAUGCCUGAGCAAAAUGUUUUUGAUGGCUUAGGGACAGAAAUGUUCUAAUUAUUUGCAAAACAGGUACAAAAUAAGUGGGUGCUAUGCAUUGUCCCUUAGAUUGCCUGUCUAAAAUGAUUUGUUACUAUCAAAUAUCCUAAACAAUGCAAGGGGGACCAUAUCAUUUAGUCUCCAAAAACCUCUCUGCCUAGUUAGAGCAGUGUUUGUUUUUCUAAUAUGGGAACUGAGCAGAGAUCAUAAAAUCAUGUAACAGGCCUCCAGAAAGGACUAACAAAUUAUCUCUCAUUUAAAUUGGUAUGACUGGGCAAAUGAGCAUCUCUAGAUUGAACUACUAAAUAUUUAAUCCAGUAUUUUUCACAGGGUUUUUUUUAAUCAGAUGAAGUGCCAUUAUUAAAUGUGGGAAAAAAAAGAAAGAAAAUACAGCCCUCAUUGUCUUUAUAAAAAGGAACUGACGCUUAUUGGCUGUAAAAGUGACAAAUUAUGUUGUAUUUCCUGAGUGGCUGAAAAGCAUACUUGACCUUGAAAAAUAAGUUCUCAGGAGUAGAGAAGCUAGGUUGCCUUUGCUUUAUAUUGUGCAAAAUCUUCAUCUAGGUGCCAUUGUCUGACCGUGUUUCAUGACUACUCUGUGUGUCACAACCCACUCACUCAGAAAUACUGCCUUGAUCCAUCCCUGUAACCAUAAUGAUGAGGAGUGUAACAGCUGGCUAAUUUCAUUACUGCUGAUUUACAGUCACCAGCAGUAUUUCCCAAAUGACAAUGUGACAGCAAACUAGAAUAAUAUUCCUUCCUUCCAAGAGCCGUAGUUGGCUGUAAUUACCUGGAUAUUUGAGGUCUAAGCAAGCACUUGGAUGUUUAAUUGGGACAUACCAGAAACUGAGAAGAUCAGCCAAAUCUUUAAAAAUGAGAUUGCUCAAAAGGACAAAAAAAAAAAAAGUGAAAUAAGUCACAGCAACACAAUACUUGGCUAGUUAAAUCCAUUGUCUGAAUACACGGCACAUACUCCUGUCAGUUCAAAGACAAAACAAAAACCACUGGAGUACUUCUGUGGAGUUUCUUAUUUACUUAAAGCACUAUUAUACAUUUCGUCAGUAGGGCAUCAAACAAUUAAAGCUCUGCAAUGUACAAGGCUAUGUAAUUUCACCAGGGAAACAUAGCCCUAUUUUGUAUAAAACAAAGAAAAAACUUCUCUAACUGAAAAUAUAAAGUCAAUCUGCUACCUCGUCUGAAGCGUAACGUCUAUUUAGCUAGAGAUACGCAAACUAUUGACCAGAAGGACUGCCUCUGAAGAAGAGGGAAUGGCUAAGGUAGGUAGUUUGCUGAAGUUCUGGUGGGUGGGCUCAGACAGAACCCCUGCCCCUGGACUUCUGGAACUGCUAGUGGUCUCUGGGGAAGCAACCUGUCUUGGCUAAGAGGAAGGGCUUUUUAUGCUCCAGUAUAAAGUACGCUACCAGUGUCCUGAUUAGCACAGGAUAAAUAAUUUCCUGUAACUAAUCAAACAAUGAAAUUUGAACUUAGAACGUAACAAGCCAGAUGAAUGGAAGUCUGCACUUCAAAUCAACCAACCCAGCACGUUGUGAAGUCUGACCAGCCUUACCUAUUCUAAGGAGCUAUUAAAUAUGUUACCUAGCCUGUUUGAAUAAUAAACUUUAAUCCUGAACAACUUA